AAAGUCGUAACAAGGUCUCCGUAGGUGAACCUGCGGAGGGAUCAUUAUCGAAUGGUCUCGUGCCUUCAACUCCCAAAACUUGUGGAAGCUACAUGUGCUUCGGCGCCAAGGCGUCGUCUUUAUGCAUGAAUAUGUCUUGAUGUCUGAAUUGGAUAAUUAAAACCAAAACUUUCAACAAAGGAUCUCUUGGCUCUC
rnacentral:misc_RNA from 1 species